AUAGCGAAAGCUAGUUGCAUUAACUUCGACUAUGUCUAAGUUAAUGCAGCAUCGACUAUGUCGAAUAAAGUUCUAGGUAUAAUUAUGAUGAUGACAUUUUAUAUCUAUGUGUCUUGACCAAAUCACGUGCCAGCAGUCGCGGUAAUACGUGGAAGACUAGUGUUAUUCAUCUUUAAUAGGUUUAAAGGGUACUUAGACGGUAAAUUUAGCCCAAAUAAAAACAAAGGGUACUAAUUAUACUAGAGUUUAAUGAGAGGGGGUGUGUACUAGUGGAGUAGAGAUGAAAUUCUGUCAUACCAUUAUGACAGGCAACGGCGAAGGCAACCCUUUAUGUAAAAACUGACGUUAAAGGACGAAGGCUUUGUGUCACCAACAGGAUUAGAUACCCAAGCAGUCUUAGCAGACAAUUAUGAAUGCCAUAGAUAAGAAAUAUAUUCUUUCUUAAAGAAGAGAGAAUGUGAUUUUAUCUAUAUGAAAGUGUAAGCAUUCCACCUCAGAGUAAUGUGGCAACGCAGAAACUGAAAUCAUUAGACCGUUUCUGAAACCAGUAGUGAAGUAUGUUG
rnacentral:rRNA from 1 species